GCUUAGCUGACCGAAAAAUGUGAGGAAUAGAAAAGAUUUCCGUCCAUUAUGGGGAUGCUGAUUUGGCAUUCAUAUGCUUUUGGCACAAAUUAGUGCAGUUGCUACCAUGUUCUUCUUGAACUGAUUUUGCCUUUUAUCUGAUUAUCAUUUAUCACUAUUACAGUUUAUUUGAUUUUGCCCCUCAUCUCUCUUAUACUUAAUAUUGAUGCUUUUGCAGUGCUUACACCACAUCACUAAAGGUUCAUUCAAGAUGGUUCAAGCUGUAUGUAUUCGUUCUUAUGGUACAAAUUAAAUUUUCUCCAAUAAACUGUUGAAAGUGCAUGUCUUUUAAAGGCUCAUCCGUAUUUCUACACUUGAUUAGGUGUCUCAAGUCUUAUAACCUCAUUGUUUGCUGUAUUUGCUUAAAUGGAAAAAACCCUGAAGAAAUUCGUGCUUUGUUCUUGAAGUUGGGCACUCUGUUCAACUCAAAAACUAAUGUCAUAUGGGAGUGUGUGCUCAUGCUCUCUGAGGAAUAUAGGAUUAUUGUGUUCUGUAGUUUUCCACCUGCAUUGUUUGUCAAUUAUUUGAAUAUAUCGAUGCUACAUUCAAUUGGUGGUGGUCAAUUAUCCUACUUGGGCAAGUUUCAAUUUUUUGAUAUUGAUUUUUCUUUCUAUUGCAGGUUCUAUAGGUGUUUCCUUAAAAGAGGGCGAUCUAGGGACCGAUGAUGUAUGUUCCGCAAGUGGUGUGAUUUUGUAGCAAUGAGUUUUGUAGGCAUACUGGACGUAUGUUCCCAGCUUCGGUUGUUAGCUUUAGUCACUUAUAGUUGUUUUAUAAUAUAAUAUUCUUUCGAGGCUUACAUUUUUUACCCUUCAAAAUCCUUACAUGCCAUUGUCACUAUAGAAAACACUUAAAACCAUAUACGGAAGUGGAGAUAGUGCAGAAAUUGUUAAGCUCCAUGUCCUGUGCCAUAUCCCGCUAUAAUUAUGUUCGCUAAUCCACUCCCAUUAGUUACAACACUUGAUAUAGGGGAACGAGAUUUUGAUGUUUUGAACUCGUGGAAGACAAUUCACGCUUCAACUAUAAUGACGAAAGGUGC
rnacentral:lncRNA from 1 species